rnacentral:tRNA from 1 species
AUGGGUGUAGCUUAACUGGCCAGAGCGCUGCGCUUGGACCGCAGGAGGUGUUCGUUCGAAUCGGACUACCCAUA